CGCGUAGGCGGUGGUGUAAGUCUGAUGUGGAAGCCCACGGCUCAACCGUGGAAUUGCAUCGGAAACUGCAUCACUUGAGUCAGCGAGGGGAGGGCGGAAUUCCUGGUGUAGCAGUGAAAUGCGUAGAUAUCAGGAGGAAGGCCGGCGGCGAAGGCGGCCCUCUGGCGCUUGACUGACGCUGAGGCGCGAAAGCGUGGGGAGCAAACAGGAUUAGAUACCCUGGUAGUCC
rnacentral:rRNA from 1 species